rnacentral:lncRNA from 1 species
UUGAAUAUCAUGGAGCACAAUUCAAAUGAUUGUUCAUUGAUCUAUUAACCACAAAAGCAGAAUAUAUUAAACUGAAAGGCUUUUUCUACAGAGUAAGUGUCAAAAAGGAUUCUUGCGGAGUGAAGGUUAGUGCUCACCAUCAAGUCGCCAGGUUCCAUAUACAACUUGUUGGUGCAGGCUUUCACUCUGCAUCUGAACCUUCAUCUAUCUUUCGGUCAUGGUCAUAUUUGAGUAUAAUUAGUUAGAACCACCAAGUGAGCUUUAAUUAACUCACAAGCUUAUAAAUAAACCAUAAGCUAUACUCAAACAUACUUUAGGAAAGUGAAAAAAAACAUGCAGGAUGAACAAUGCAACUAAUGUACCACGCCAAAUUUGUUUCAACGGGGAUCAGGCCAACCUUUACGGAACAGGGACCAGGUUGUUGUGCUAUAUCUUGCCAGUGGUCCUCAUUGGUAGUAGUGAUCAUUGUCAAAACGUCUGUUACUUGCAAGUUACUGCAAAAAGAAUUUCAUAUCAGCAUGUGCUUAUUGUUUCCCUUUUCUCAAUAUACAAACGUUGCUACAUGUGUCACGGUCUUUAGUUAAAUUUAUUAGGCCAAUUUGGCAUGAUACACCCAUUACGAAUUUCUACUAAAUUGUGUGAUCAAAAGAGCAGGGAAAUGAGGGACAAUACAAAGUAUAGAUUCUACAUUAGAUACAUAGAUCAAAUAAUGUAGUGAAUAGUUGCUGCACCUUACAAAUUCAGUAUCAACAGAGACCUAGUGCCGAAUGAAAGCUACACGAAGGACCUUCCGUACACAGAACAAUCACUAUUCGAGGUGACAUUGACACGUUAAUGAUUCCGAGCCUGCAAAUAAUAAUAUAAGAAUUAGUAUUUCACAUAGAAAGGGGAGAGUCAUAUAGGAACAUGUCUGGGUUUUUUACCGGAAGAAAAUAUUUGGUAUUGCCACGGAAAAAGAUCGAAAUAGCUAGCAUUUAAAGUUCAAACUUAAAAAAGGUAGCAUUUAGUUUAAACAUGAGUAUUGUUGUGAUUCCUAAAUUAAUGUGGCUUCAUUCUAUUAGUAUCUUGGGUAUGUGUGAGAAAUAUUUAGUAUGAAAAGACAACAGAUAAAUGACAAAAAAAGAGUAUUAUUAAAUUCAAAUGCAUACCUUAUAUAUUGAAAU